rnacentral:rRNA from 15 species
CUCGGCAACGGAUAUCUUGGCUCUCGCAUCGAUGAAGAACGCAGCAAAAUGCGAUACUUGGUGUGAAUUGCAGAAUCCCGUGAACCAUCGAGUUUUUGAACGCAAGUUGCGCCCGAAGCCAUUAUGCUGAGGGCACGUCUGCCUGGGCGUCACGCACAA